AUCUUGACUUGCUGCAAGUAUUCCAUAAAUCAAAAGAAUCUUGGCUUAGUCAAGUAACAGCAAGCGCAGUGGCGGUACGUAUUAUUCUUGUUACGUAUCAGUGCUCGCGCUCUAUUUUGUUUAGCGACUGUCUUGUGCCAGUAAAACUCAAUGGAAAAUCGAUAAUCCGAAAUUUCUUUGACGCUGAAGUAGCGUUAGACAUCUUCCGAACGAAUACUCGACGAUGCUUAUAAUUAUUGAGAUAGAUGGAGGGGCUAUGAAAGAUUAAGUAACGACAGAGUCACUCAGUAAUCAGCUUAACUAGGAGUUUUCAACGCCGUCUGCAUAAGAGCGGAUCUGCGCUUCGUUGGAAAGGUUCGAUCUGUUCUUUUCACGCACGAUGAUCUUUCGAGAGCGAUCGCACGAGUGAGCGUACGGAAGUGCCAACAACGGAUGCUCUUGGGAAAUCGGCAGGAUAUCGAAGCAAGAUCGAGUAAACAAGCUACUACUGAACGACAGCCGAGAGAAAUUAGCGAAGUUGCACGAAGAUUUAAAUAAAGCAUCUGCAAAGAAAAUGAAAGGACACGAACUUUCUUCCCCACUAUCCCCGUUGAUUUCUUUGCACCGGAAAGAUCCUUCUUUUUUUUUUUU